GAUGUCUGAUGAAAUGGAAAGGAGUUCGUAAAAAUAGUGGGAAAAGUUGGGUUGAAGUGGGUAAUGUCGUUCACCAGUUCAAGGCAGGUGACCGGUCACACCCUGAAGCUGAACUAAUAUAUAAAACUUUGAAGAAAUUAAUUCAUCAAACCAAAUUGGAAGGAUUUAGUUCCACGACUGAGUUGGUUUUGAUGGAUAUUUCUGAUGAGGAAAAGG
rnacentral:misc_RNA from 1 species